GCAAAAUGUGUAAAACUGCUUUAAACUUGUUUUAUAACUGCAACAUUUUCUCUACUUCCUUUUGCAAAUGUGUCGAAUUUCAGUAUGUUAACUUUAAAAAGUGACCGCCCCUAAAAAACAUCUAAUCCCUUGAAAAUGGCCUAUCCGGCGUCGAUAUGAUUCAGAAACUGAAACGAUGUUCGCUGAGAGUCAGGAAACAUUUCAGGGAAUGAAUGUUUUAAUAAAAUAAACAGAACAGAAUAUAAUACAAAACAAGAACUUCGAACAACGCACAGACGUGAAACAGAAACAAUGAUGCCUGGGGAAGGAACCAAAGGGAGUGACAUAUAGGGCAUGUAAUCAAGGAAGUGAUGGAGUCUAGGCGAGUCUGACUAUGCGCAGGUGCUUGUAACGAUGGUGACAGGUGUGCACCAUAACGAGCAGCCUGGUGACCUAGAGGACGGAGAGGGAGCACACUGACAGAAACAGUAAUUCUAGUGGCAAAAUUACUACAAAGUGCAAAUAGGAUCAUUUUGGAUAUAAAAUCAGUCUCAUCUAUUAUGGUUGGUUUUGGAUUACAAUUAUGUCAGCAAAUCAUGCCCCCUUUUGCCAAACUCCACUUGCAAAUCGCCCCUCUGGCCACUUCGCUUCCCAUCAUUGAAUGGGGCUCCCAUGUUUCAUAGCCCCCAACCAAAGUGUUCAACGGAUCACGGCCGUUUGAGACUGAAAAGCCCUUUACGGAUUGACCAUGCAAUGCAUGCUAGCAGCAGGAUGCACUGCCAACAACUCAGCUUUGGCUUGGAAACAUUCCAAAAGAAAGCAAAUUAUUGGUAGGAAAAACAUUUGCCAUGAUUGUGAUGUCGCCAGAUUGACUUUAGAUAUGCAGUAUAACUUUAGCCAGCUAACUAAGAUUGAUGGGACCACAUUAUUUUAGCUAGCCAACUUUAGCAUUUCUAGCUAUUUUUGACUAACUUUGAUAGUAACAGUAAUGGCAACAUUGCCAUCUCUCUAAAGUAAAAUGUACAACAUCAUAAUAUGGCGAAGUUGUUUCCUACUAGUUAUUUGCCUACUUUAGCAAAGUCAUCGUAUUUCCAUGCCACUGUAAAUUAGUGUAGUUUACAUGAAACAGUCACAUUAGCCUCCGAGGUGCAACCCAUGUCUAGGGCACAAAUAAAUAUUGAAUGCAGCUAUGGUGCAGCCUGGUCUCAUAGCCUAGAUGUAACAUAGUAAAUGCAAAUCCGGGACACUCAAAUUAGCAUGAUAUGUUAUGUUUGGUAUGGUCACAUAAGACAGAAGGUUACUUAAGGCAAAAACGAAGGAAGAAUGGUUGGUCGAGGUGGAUGGGUAGACAUAUAAUGUGAACAAAAGGUUGCAUGUUCGAAUCUCAUCACUGACAACUUUAGCAUUUUAGUUAAAUGGAAACUUUGCAAGCGCUUACUACUUUUUUGCUACUUUGCAACUACUUAGCAACUACUUAGCAUGUUAGCUAACCCUAACCUGUAACAUAUCAUACGUAUUGCAAAUUCAUAACAUACUGUACGAAUUGCAAUUCGUAACAUAUAAUAAGAUUUGUAAUUUGAAACAUAUCACAUGAAAGGGAUGAUGGACAUCCACAAAUUAAUACAUACUAUAUCAUAUUAAAUGGAUAUUGUCCCGAGUUACUGCCCUGAUGACACAGAUGACUUCAUCAACAACGACAGGACAUCCCAGUCAUCACCACCUCAUACGAUUGCAUGCUGUAGUUGUUUGAGAGAUGUCCAGUAUGCAGGUGAACAUGCAGCAUAGAGGAGACAAGCAAGGGGGCCCUCAUCAGCAUCAUGCAGACAUGCAGACAGGUUGUCAGCAACCUUCACCUGUCAGCGGCAACAGCUUUCACAGGCUCAUCAUUUGUACAAAUACAGAAGAUCCUGAAAACCAUAAAGAAACAACAGGAGUUGGCUGUAACCCUAGACAUUCUUGCAGAGACCGGAAUCAGUAAAGCUGGAAACUGUUUGCAGGAGAAGCAGUCAGGCUUAUUAGUCAGACACUAUAAGAAAUUGGUUCCAAAAGAGACUUAA